rnacentral:misc_RNA from 1 species
GAAAUGCGAUAAGUAAUGUGAAUUGCAGAAUUCAGUGAAUCAUCGAAUCUUUGAACGCACAUUGCGCCCGCUAGUAUUCUGGCGGGCAUGCCUGUUCGAGCGUCAUUUCAACCAUCAAGCCCCCGGGCUUGUGUUGGGGCACUGCGGCUGCCGCAGGCCCCCAAAAGCAGUGGCGGACUCGCUGUCACACCGAGCGCAGUAGCAUAUCUCGCUCAGGGCGUGGCGGCGGGCACCGGCCGUAAACACCUACACCAAAGGUUGACCUCGGAUCAGGUAGGAAUACCCGCUGAACUUAA